rnacentral:tRNA from 1 species
CAAGAAAUAGUUUAAUCAGAAUUUCAGUUUUGGGUACUGAUGGUGGGGUAGUUUGCCUCUUUCUUGA